rnacentral:rRNA from 1 species
GACGAACGCUGGCGGCGUGCUUAACACAUGCAAGUCGUACGGUAAGGUCCUUUCGGGGGUACACGAGUGGCGAACGGGGGAGUAACACGUGAGUAACCUUCCCACAACUUUGGGAUAACGCUAGGAAACUGGUGCUAGUACUGGAUAUGUGCUACUUCUGCAUGGUGGUGGUUGGAAAGCUCCGGCGGGUGUGGAUGUACUGGCUGCCUAUCAGCUUGUUGGUGGGGUAGUGUCGUACCGAGGCGGCGACGGGUAGCCGGGCUGAGAGGGUGACCGGCGACAUUGGGACUGAGAUACGGCACCGACUGCUACGGGAGGCAGCAGUGGGGAAUAUUGCACAAUGGGCGCCAGCCUGAUGCAGCAGCGCCGCGUGCGGGAUGACGGCCUUCGGGUUGUAAAACGCUUUCAGCAGGGACGAAGCUUUUUGUGACGGUACCUGCAGAAGAAGCACCGGCUAACUACGUG